UCUUUUCUUUUCUUUUCUCUUCUCUCCUCUUCUCUUUCUCCUCUUUUCUCGUGGAUCAGAAAGUUGCUCUUCCUGGGACAAACUGCUACCGAAACACUAUUGGCUGUGGCCUGCUUCGUCUGCUGAGAGGAGGAGAGACUGUUAAACACUUCCUCAGCCUUUCACACAGUGCUCACUAAGGAGUGAUGUUUAUCUUAAACCAAAAUCUCCGCCGUUCGGCCGGUGGUUGCCUGAGGGAAUAAGGAGGAAUGGGAAGGGAAAUUGCUUUCCCAUUGAGCGGCUCCUGCUGCCGCAGGGGUGCACGGCCUCCGCUGGGACAGAGGUAACAUGCCCGCUCCGACACUCGGCACUCUGCUGGCCAUAUGGCAGCAUGUGGGCCACAUGUCUGGACCUUCAUAAAACUUCUCAUCGCUUCCGUGUCUUACUGAAGGAUCAUUUUUCAUUUAAUUUCUUCAUGAUGACGAUGUUUAUUAUUUGUAGGCCUAUUAUUAGGCUAUUAUAGGAUAUUUCAUAGCUAGCUUCCAUAGCCUUAAAAAAUAAAAUGUGAACAAACUCUAUUUUGAUUUUUUUUUAUUCAGCAAUUAAUUAUUUAAAAAUGUAGAUUAGAUGACUGAACAAAAACUGCUCACAACGUAGCCUAUACAAGGACAGGGAUGUGUUGUCAUUUCAAGAAUUUAAUUCAAAAUACUUUAUUUGUCCCUUAAAGGGGAAAUUUGGGGCAAAUACAAAAACACACAAGCACAUUAUUUGUA